AUUGAACGCUGGCGGAAUGCUUUACACAUGCAAGUCGAGCGGCAGCGCGGGGGCAACCCUGGCGGCGAGCGGCGAACGGGUGAGUAACAUAUCGGAACGUACCCAGUCGUGGGGGAUAACUAUCCGAAAGGAUAGCUAAUACCGCAUACGUCCUGAGGGAGAAAGCGGGGGAUCGCAAGACCUCGCGCGAUUGGAGCGGCCGAUAUCGGAUUAGCUAGUUGGUGGGGUAAAGGCUCACCAAGGCGACGAUCCGUAGCGGGUCUGAGAGGACGACCCGCCACACUGGAACUGAGACACGGUCCAGACUCCUACGGGAGGCAGCAGUGGGGAAUUUUGGACAAUGGGGGCAACCCUGAUCCAGCCAUUCCGCGUGAGUGAAGAAGGCCUCGGUUGUUAAAGACUCUUUCUAGCUGGAGUGAAACGGUGCGCUCUAACAUAAGCGCGCUAAU
rnacentral:rRNA from 1 species